rfam:Brachypodium distachyon strain Bd21 chromosome 3, whole genome shotgun sequence.
AGCCUGAUAGUCCUUCACCGGUAGCUACCAGCAUUAACCGUUGAUUCUAUGAUUGGGCCAAGAAAGAGUCAUUGUCGUUUCACAAUUGAUCAGAUCCUGUGACUAGUGUUCAGUUGGUCAACAGAGCUGGUUGUUGUGAUUACAUAU